UAUUGCACAACGGCGGAAACUCUGAUGCAGUGACACCGCGCAUAGGAAGAAGGUUUUCUGAUUGUAAACUAUUUUAGACAGGGAAGAAAAAAGACAGCACCUGUAGAAUAAGCUCCGGCUAACUACGUGCCAGCAGCCGCGGUAAUACGUAGGGAGCAAGCGUUAUCCGGAAUUAUUGGGUGUAAAGGGUGCGUAGACGGGACAGCAAGUUAGUUGUGAAAGCCCUCGGCUUAACUGAGGAACUGCAACUAAAACUAUUGUUCUUGAGUGCAGGAGAGGAGAGCGGAAUUCCUAGUGUAGCGGUGAAAUGCGUAGAUAUUAGGAGGAACACCGGUGGCGAAGGCGGCUUUCUGGACUGUAACUGACGUUGAGGCACGAAAGUGUGGGGAGCAAACAGG
rnacentral:rRNA from 1 species